rnacentral:snRNA from 1 species
CCCCUUAUGUGGCGGGGAACACACAGUGGUCAGGAAGGGGUUCUCCCUGGAGGAGGCUAGUCCAGCACACUUCGGCUCCGCUGACCCCUGCGAUUUCCCGACAUGGCGGGGCCUUCGUCUGCGGUGGUGUUUGCGCUACCCGGCGGC